GAUGAACGCUGGCGGCGUGCUUAACACAUGCAAGUCGAACGAUGAAGCCCAGCUUGCUGGGUGGAUUAGUGGCGAACGGGUGAGUAACACGUGAGUAACCUGCCCUUGACUCUGGGAUAAGCCCGGGAAACUGGGUCUAAUACCGGAUAGGAGCGCCUGUCGCAUGACGGGUGUUGGAAAGAUUUUUCGGUCAUGGAUGGACUCGCGGCCUAUCAGCUUGUUGGUGAGGUAAUGGCUCACCAAGGCGACGACGGGUAGCCGGCCUGAGAGGGUGACCGGCCACACUGGGACUGAGACACGGCCCAGACUCCUACGGGAGGCAGCAGUGGGGAAUAUUGCACAAUGGGCGGAAGCCUGAUGCAGCGACGCCGCGUGAGGGAUGACGGCCUUCGGGUUGUAAACCUCUUUCAGUAGGGAAGAAGCGAAAGUGACGUACCUGCAG
rnacentral:rRNA from 1 species